GCUGCACCCUUUCACAUUCUCACCAGCAAUCUUAACGGCUUCUCAUUGUUUCCCGUUGCAGGUUGUUCCAUUAACAGUGCCUAUGCUAGCACCCCAGCAGCUGUAAAGAUUCGCACAUUACUCAGGCACAGAAGAAAAGCUAAAAGCGGGCGUCAGAUGAAGGGAGAGCUGAAGGAGCUGAACUCAUUUUCCACACACAGAGAUAAUUGGCACGGCAGUAAUUUUGGAGAGCUGAAUUAAAUGAAUAAGUUGUGACAUGGGAAAAACUGAAAAGGACAGCAGUGUUCUGGCUCGCACAGAAUCGCUACCUUGCUUGGAUUUGAGCUCUCUCUCUAAUACAGUGUCUGAGGCACCAUCUUUGGCUCUGUCUUUACAAGAGGAAGUGGCAAAACAAACACCCACACAGACAAAUCUUGGUGAAAUCUGAGCCUCCACACAGCUUCAGUGCCACCCACAGCUGGACAGCAAAAUGGCAAAGUCUCCAGAUUCUGCGAGUAGGCAAAUGCAAGGUGCCAGAAUCAGGAGUUCUGGAAUUUCAGCGUGUCUCUCCUCUUCCAAUCCUCAAUGUCUGUCAGAAACACAGGAAAUGGAGCAAAUGUCUGCUUCUGGGACCUCUCACUGGCUUCUUGCAAGGCAGAAGUGAACGUUUUUUGCAUGAGCCAGUAAGUGUUCGAGUACAGCCAUCCGCAGGCACUGGAUCAGGCUGUGCUGAUGGGAUGCUCCUAGCUGUCCAUGCUGGGGUCUGAGACCUCACCAUGAAAGCAUCACAGCCACAGAGACAGAUGAGCGUCUGCCAUCCUGAGACAUUGCAUGAUUGAGAGACCAAGAGGAAAAAACUUGCAGUGUUUCAUCUGUGACCCUGCGAUUCCUGUGUAGGGCAGGGAGAAGGGGUUUCUGGGGACUCUAGGGUAACUGGGUGUGCUCUGGGUUGAAGUCAGGGUCAGAAGUAAUGGGUGUUGAGCUGCACACUUUGGAUUUGUGCAAACAUUUGGCCUUAAGCUAACCCACUACCAGGAAGGCUGGGGGAUGGUAGACUCAUGCAGGCUGAAACACCACCCCAGGCUCAGUUGCAGCCAUCCCUGGCUAUAUGAUGUUAUUAUGUCACACUGGGGGCAUUUGUGCCUGAUGCCCCAGAAGAGAGCCAGCACUUUCAUGAGUAUUUUCCAGACUCCAGGUCCUACCCCUCAAGGACAAAGAGGCUCCAGGGAAGGAAAGUCAAAUGCAAAGUGUCUCAGGAGGUGGAGGCCAUACAAAGAAGCCAUAGGGCCAAUACUGGCGGUGAAAUGCGGCCCACCAGCAUGUGAGAACAAGACAGCAGGAGGACCGGCAUGCAGAGAGAACCCUGAGAACUGGGGCUGUGGGGUAACCCUAAGUCUCAUCACAGUGACUUGGAGGGUAACAAGGAGGAUAACAAGGAUAGCUUAUUGUUGUGAGUUAUGUCUGAAAUCAUAAAUGCGGAGAUGGAAUGUGUUAUUUUUCCCAGAUGUGUAAAUUUCAUAUUCAGAAUAAUUUCUCUGCUUCUUUCUGAAUUGAAA